AGUAACACGUAGGCAAUCUACCUUUAGGACUGACACAACUCGUACGAAGACGGGCUAAUAUCAGAUAAUGCAGCGGCUCCGCAUGGAGACAGUUGUUAAAGUACAAGCGCCUGAAGAUGAGCCUGCGGUCCAUUAGCUAGUUGGUAGAGUAACGGCCUACCAAGGCAACGAUGGAUAGCUGGUCUGAGAGGAUGAUCAGCCACACUGGAACUGAGACACGGUCCAGACUCCUACGGGAGGCAGCAGUAAGGAAUAUUGCUCAAUGGCCGAAAGGCUGAAGCAGCAACGCCGCGUGAAGGAUGAAUGGCCUUUGGCCUGUAAACUUCUGUAAAAGAGGAAAAAUAGUUAGGUAUAUCCUAAUGUGAUUGUACUCUUGAAGUAAGCCCCGGCUAACUACGUG
rnacentral:rRNA from 1 species